rnacentral:RNase_P_RNA from 1 species
ACGAUGAACCAGGCUGCCGCGGGGGCGUUUCCCUUUUAUAGGGGCGCCUCUGAGGAAAGUCCGGGCUCCGCAGGGCAUGAUGCCGGGUAAUACCCGGGCGGGAACUCCCAAAGGAGUUUUCGACAGCGAGCGCAACAGAAAAAAUACCGCCCCAGAGGGGUAAGGGUGAAAUGGCGGGGUAAGAGCCCACCUCGAUGAUGGCAACAUCACCGGAAAGAUUUCAGCGCGCUUGAGAAUUCCGCGGCGCUGAAAAAAUGGCAAGCCUCAUCAGUAGCAAAGCUAAGCAGUGUAUAGGGACGUGAUUUGAGAUCCCGGCCGGCGGCCCGCCGGUUAAACAUGGGUAAGCCGCUGGAUCCGCUCCGUGAGGAGCGGACUAGAUAGAUGGCUGCCGGGAAAGUUUCCUCAUAUAUGGAAAUAUCCCUGGAGUUUUCUGAGAAGAGUAACUCUAAGCUCAAAACCGUAAGGUUUAGGCACAGAACCCGGCUUAUGGUUCAUCGUUUUU